GGGGCCGUGGUCUAGCUUGGUAGGAUGCCGGCCUCGGGAGCCGGAGGUCCCGGGUUCAAAUCCCGGCGGCCCCA
rnacentral:tRNA from 1 species